AUCAAUUUGUGAUUUUGCUUUAGCAUUUCGAAAAAGAGCAGAGUUGGUGAAAUUUACAGGGAAUACGAGCUUCUUUUUCUAAUUCUCAUAUCUUUCUUCUCUGUUUGAACCCAAUUUGAUGAUUAGGAAAUAUGGAGCUAGGUUUUGUCCUCAUUUUCUUCCCUCCAUGGCUCCAUAUUCACUCUUCUCAAACCCUUCUGUGCCGUCGUGUCUUCCUCCGCCAAAUCUCUUCCUACUUCUGUUGUGGUCACCGCAGCGAUGCCUGGUUUUGACUCUCCCAACUGGGGUGGCCGGCCAAGCACGUGAGGGACACUUUCUUUAAGUUCUUCAAAGUAAAGUGCCAUGUCUAGUGGCGGUCCAAUCCCGUUGUUCCAUUCAAUGACCCUAGCCUAUUGUUCGGGAACGCUGGAUAAGUUGAGGGGGAGAGAAUGGGAGCUCUGGAAAAGGAAAGAAAGAGAAGAGCAUGAAAUGGAAAGGAUGUGGAUCCAAAGAAAAGAGGCAAUCACUUCUUUUCAAGCUUUACUUGUGGAGACAACCAAAGACCCUUAUUUGUAGCAUCUCGAUAUGGUAAUUAUACUGAAGGACAAGAUACGGGAGUAUAAAAAAGAUACAAAGUAGAUGGUCAGUCCAAUACUUAGUCACAUAGAGAAUAACAUAUAUGGUGAAAACCGAGAGGCACCAUGGACAGAAUCUAAGCAUAAGCUAAAAAAGGAUCCUCAAGGACGUGCACUAAUCCUGAUCUAGAUCUAGCUGACACUGAAAAGCUCUUUCGCCAUGAGUAACUUCCUUCAAUGGUGAUCUCUCAGCUCAGCCUCAUCCAUAAUAAGAGAGAAAUUUGAGUGAUUAUUUUAUUAGGCAUGUGGUCUUUAUUGUGGAAUGAAGAUAUAAGGGAGAGAGUUGGAGUAGCACCUAUUGUGGAAAAGAUGGUUGAAUCGCGUCUCAGGUGGUUUGGACAUGUGAGAAGAAGACCGAUAGAACAUCCAGUCAGGAGGGUGGAUGAGAUGGAAGAUGGACAAAGGGCGAAAGGCAGAGGAAGACCUAAGAAGACCAUCCAUGAGGUGGUCAAACGAGAUCUACAUGUAAACGGUCUCUCUGUAGACAUGAUACAUGACAGAGCACAAUGGCGUCGUUUGAUUCAUGUAGCCAACCCCACUUAGUGGGACAAGGCUUUGUUGUUGUUGUUGUUGUUGUAUGUGGUCUUUAUUGAUGUGUUUCUUAUAUUUUCUUCCACUUUUUUUUUUAUCUAUUUAAGUAUUUUCUUUUUGUUUUUUUUUUCUUCUUUCACAUUCUCUAUAUGACUAUACUUUUCCAGUUAAGAAUCAUAUUUGAGUUGAUGAAUCGGGAACUAUUGUUUGUGGUAAACCUAAGAAUUAUUGCAUACGAGUUAAAUACAUCCCUCCACGUUGUUAAUAGAAUUUGCCGUGAUAUUUCAUUAGUACACUUUUUAGAAAUGCUGCUACUAUUUAUGAUCAAAAGAUAUGGUUAUAAUUAUUGAACUAUUUUUUUUUCCUUCUCCUCUUAUUUGUUUCUAUCUGAAGGCAUUCUGUUGACUUAAUCUUUUUUUAUACCGACUGUAGUUAUUUAAUUUACUUGGUGAUGAUUCUCAUAUUCCUUUGAAAAAAAGUUGUGGCCUCUAUCUAUAUUUUCUUUUUAUGGAUAAUGUUGUUUUAAGUUCAAAUGAUUCCGUGAAAGAUGUUUCUCGAAUUUCUAUUCUCAGAUCAAGUCAUUUGGUAUACACGUAGUUUGUAUAGUAUGAGAAUUUCAAUUAUUUUUUUUAGCUUUAUAGAAACUAUUAAUGUAAGUUGCUUUUAUUUGUGUUAACUUAUCUCUUUCUAUUAUAAUACAACUUUUUGUUAAUAACCCAUUGAGUAGCACUAUAUGUCUGAGAUCCACAGGAUAAGGUGAUUCCUAAAAAAUUGCA